GAUGAACGCUGGCGGCGUGCCUAAUACAUGCAAGUCGAGCGAACAGACGAGGAGCUUGCUCCUCUGACGUUAGCGGCGGACGGGUGAGUAACACGUGGAUAACCUACCUAUAAGACUGGGAUAACUUCGGGAAACCGGAGCUAAUACCGGAUAAUAUAUUGAACCGCAUGGUUCAAUAGUGAAAGACGGUUUUGCUGUCACUUAUAGAUGGAUCCGCGCCGCAUUAGCUAGUUGGUAAGGUAACGGCUUACCAAGGCCACGAUGCGUAGCCGACCUGAGAGGGGGGUAGGCCACACUGGGACUGGGACACGGUCCAUACGCCUACGGGAGGGAGCAGUAUGGAAUCUUCCGCAAUGGGCGGAAACCUGACGGAGCAACGCCGCGUGAGUGAUGAAGGUCUUCGGAUCGUAAAACUCUGUUAUGAGGGAAGAACAAAUGUGUAAGUAACUAUGCACGUCUUGACGGUACCUAAUCAGAAAGCCACGGCUAACUACGUG
rnacentral:rRNA from 1 species